rnacentral:sRNA from 1 species
AGAUGCUUCCGUGCCAGGAAACAUGGUGGAUCCUCAGCCCUGAAAGCUGCUCACAGCUAUGGGCAUCCUUCACCCUCUCCUUCCUCUUGUAGAUGUGGACGAAUGUCAGCGGAACCCAAAGCUCUGUAAAAGCUACGGCACCUGUGUCAACACUCUCGGCAGCUACAUGUGCCAGUGCCUGCCUGGCUUCAAGUUCCAACCUGAGGACCCGAAGCUCUGCACAGAUGUGAAUGAAUGCACCUCCGGACAAAACCCGUGCCACAGCACCACCCACUGCCUCAACAACGUGGGCAGCUAUCAGUGCCGCUGCCGUCCGGGCUGGCAACCGAUUCCGGGGUCCCCCAAUGGCCCAAACAAUACCGUCUGCGAAGAUGUGGACGAGUGCAGCUCCGGGCAGCAUCAGUGUGACAGCUCCACCGUCUGCUUCAACACCGUGGGUUCGUACAGCUGCCGCUGCCGCCCAGGCUGGAAGCCCAAACAUGGAAUCCCGAAUAACCAAAAGGACACUGUCUGUGAUGAUAUGACUUUCUCCACCUGGACC